UGAUAGUAUAUUAUAUAUUAAUAUAUACAGGAGUCCUCAAACUACGGCCCGCAGGCCACAUGCGGCCCGCCGAGGACAUUUAUCUGGCCCGCCAAGUGUUUUUGCCACCGCUGCCUGUCCUGCUUAGCAGCCAACUCGUCCCAGGCCUGCAGUGCUCAUGCGUGGAAUGUGUGCCUGCACUCCGACUCCCCUCCUCCUCUCAGUCUCGGGUGUGAUCGGAUGAGUCACGAGGUUGCCUGUGCAGCUCAUGACUCGUCCGAUCUGACCGAACCUGAGAGUCCUGUCCGAUUCUCGUCCAAGCCUGCUGCUGCCUGAGGACAGAAAU
rnacentral:lncRNA from 1 species